AAAGUUCCCAGAACAAUUCAUGGGAAAGCUUAUUAUUUUUCUCUGUCUCUGACCAGAUUGUCAUAUCGACACCCAAGUACCCCCAAGGACCUCCAGGAUUUCUAAGCUCCUUUUGUGAGAGGAGCCUUGGAGCAGCUGCUUCCAGUCCAGUCCUCAGACUUUUCAAGUGUUCAUGUGUAAAGAAUUAUCAAGGUCUUUCUAGAGAAAGAGCAGGAGCAGACUGCUUAUCAAAGAUGCCAUGCCAGGCUCAGGGAGAGCUGUUCCCAGCCCGAGAGCAGGAAGAGCAGCUCAGGCAGCAGGUGGAAGAGCCACAGGAAAUGACCAGGACAUCAAGGCAGAGCCACAAGCAGAGCUGCCCGAAGCUCAGAGUGCCAUCAUGGCAGUGAAGAGAAAGAACAAGGAAGACAUGAGAAGAAUUCAAGAGGAGAUGAAUCUCCAUCAGCACAGGGGCGACCAACAAAACCAGGUGAGAGAAAGAAUGGCAGCCACUCCGCUCAUGAAACUUCCUCUCCAUUGCUGUUUACAGACCAUCAAGGAAGAUGUGCAGGCAGAGCUGCAGGAAUCUGAGGCUAGGAAAAAGGCAAGGAAGAAGAGGCUGGAAGAAGAAAUGAAAAUCAUCAGAGAGAAAGUUAAUCGCCUCCCUCAGGCUCUACAAAAGCAAGUGAGUGAUGGAGGGACAGCCACUGCAGUCACCAAACUGCUGUUUUCUGCCCUUCUUGCUUUUCCUCUGCAGAGCAGCAGGGAGUGGGGCCGUGCCUCUGAGUGCCAUCCUGCUCUAGUAUAUAUCACAGUCACUCUGAAGGACAUUUCCUGCUGUGCUGGAUCUCAAGUGCUGCCCUGGACAGUGGGACUUGUUCUUUGGCUUUUGGCCAGCAAUCAUCCAAAUUGAUUCCUGCUGGCCUGUUCCUGCUCUCUCUGUUUCUUUACAGGGGAACAUGGUGACCCAGAGGAGGACUGAAACAAGCUGUCUGUAUCCCUUGUAAAUCUGUUCUUUCCCUUUGCUCACAGUCAAUGACUCUUGGCUGAUAGGGACAAGCUGUAGUCUCUGAUUGCUUUGUUCUCUGACUUGAGGUGCAAGUGUCAACAUCUCACCUGGCAGACCGCAAAGACUUCCAGAAAACAACUGGCAAUGAAGGGCCCCAAGGUUGGCGUGAGGCACAGGAACUGUCCCCACCAGAAGUGCUACAGGUCUGACAGCAGCACGGCUGCUCCGAAACUGGAGAUUGAGAAGUAUCUGGAGAUACUGGGGAGAAUGGUGACCAUGGAAAACCCUGUGAUUAAAUACACAGAAAGGGGACGUAUUGGCAGCGGGUCUUUUGGAGAUGUGGUUAGAGCACUCAAGAAUGCCACAGGAGGAGAGAGAAAUGUCAACAGCCCUGUGUUUUUUGUCUAUAAUUUCAUUAUUUUCAUGAAAACAUGCAUU